rnacentral:rRNA from 1 species
AUUGAACGCUGGCGGCAGGCUUAACACAUGCAAGUCGAGCGGAGUGGCGAACGGGUGAGUAACACGUGGGUGAACUCCCCUGCACUUCGGGAUAAGCCUGGGAAACUGGGUCUAAUACCGGAUAGUGUGGGAUGGGCCGGCGGCCUAUCAGCUUGUUGGUGGGGUAAUGGCCUACCACGGCGGCGACGGGUAGCCGGCCUGGGAGGGUGGACGGCCACAUGGGGACUGAGACACGGCCCAGACUCCUACGGGGGGCAGCAGUGGGGAAUAUUGCACAAUGGGCGGAAGCCUGAUGCAGCGACGCCGCGUGGGGGAUGAUGGCCUUCGGGUUGUAAACUCCUUUCACCAUCGACGCGGUACCGGAAUAGAAAGCCACGGCUAACUACGUGCCAGCAGCCGCGGUAAUUC